rnacentral:rRNA from 1 species
ACGCGAAGAACCUUACCUNGGUCUUGACAUCCACGGAAGUUUUCAGNAGAUGAGAAUNGUGCCUUCGGGAACCGUGAGACAGNGUGCUGCANGGCUNGUCGUCAGCUCGUGUUGUGAAAUGUUGGGUUAAGUCCCGCAACGAGCGCAACCCUUAUCCUUUGUUGCCAGCGGUCCGGCCGGGAACUCAAAGGAGACUGCCAGUGAUAAACUGGAGGAAGGUGGGGAUGACGUCAAGUCAUCAUGGCCCUUACGACCAGGGCUACACACGUGCUACAAUGGCGCAUACAAAGAGAAGCGACCUCGCGAGAGCAAGCGGACCUCAUAAAGUGCGUCGUAGUCCGGAUUGGAGUCUGCAACUCGACUCCAUGAAGUCGGAAUCGCUAGUAAUCGUGGAUCAGAAUGCCACGGUGAAUACGUUCCCGGGCCUUGUACACACCGCCCGUCACACCAUGGGAGUGGGUUGCAAAAGAAGUAGGUAGCUUAACCUNNGG